rnacentral:rRNA from 1 species
UCGUACGACGAGUUUGAUCCUGGCUCAGAUUGAACGCUGGCGGCAGGCCUAACACAUGCAAGUCGAGCGAGAAAGGUCUUCGGACUGAGUACAGCGGCGGACGGGUGAGUAAAGCGUAGGAAUCUACCUGGUAGUGGGGGAUAACUUGGGGAAACUCAAACUAAUACCGCAUACGCCCUACGGGGGAAAGCGGGGACCGUUCGGGCCUCGCGCUAUCAGAUGAGCCUGCGUAGGAUUAGCUAGUUGGUGAGGUAAAGGCUCACCAAGGCGACGAUCCUUAGCUGGUCUGAGAGGAUGAUCAGCCACACUGGGACUGAGACACGGCCCAGACUCCUACGGGAGGCAGCAGUGGGGAAUAUUGCGCAAUGGGCGAAAGCCUGACGCAGCCAUGCCGCGUGUGUGAAGAAGGCCUUAGGGUUGUAAAGCACUUUCAAUUGGGAAGAAACGUUGGUCGUUAAUAGCGGCCAGCCCUGACAUUACCUUUAGAAGAAGGACCGCUAACUCCGUG